rnacentral:lncRNA from 1 species
AUGAGAGAGCAAGAAAAGGAAAGUAAAAAAACGUGUUCCUGUCAUCUCCACUCUGCACCAGGACGUCCUUCCUCCCGCGCUGUCUCCCUCCCACUGCGCCGCGAGGUAGCCCCCGCCUCCCCUGUCCUCACUCCUCUCCCCAAACCCCAGCCACGAGCGGUUCAUGAGUCUGGGGGUGGUGCCUCUGUGUUUCCGGCCGAAGGAAGGGGAGCUCCACGGUCAGUCUGCCUGUCUCACCCCAUCUUCUACACAUUGCUACUUGGCCGAGGACAGCUUCCAGACCAGACUGGCCAGGGCCCUGCAUUUCCCCCGCUCAAAGCAAAGUACUAGGCUUAAGACACAGUCCCUGGAUCUCUUGGAAUCUGCUUGAAGUUGCAAGAUUCCUGAUGUUUGGAACAGCUGCCUAUCUCUCAACGGGGAUAAAUGUUAAGUUUCCACACUUGGGGCCAAACACCAAUCGUACAAUUUGCAGUUCGGGGGAGAUGUGGCCUACCAGCAGCUUGCGUGGAAGAGGACUGAGGAGGUUUUGUUAAUAACGUACGCGCUCGGAGUCAACGGCGGCCACUGAAAAGGCUAACGCCAAAUCAGGCCGCGUCAACGGGUAUUUUAUGGCCACAGGAAGGACAGGAGGCCCUGAAGCCAUGGUCACUGCAAAGCUGCAACAGGUCUGGAGAGAGAGAGACCGGAGUAGGUUCAGAAACAAAGUGAAUAGGACAGAGCAGGCAGCUCUUCGAGGUAGAAUUUGACAUCAUGAAGGGCCAAGCCCCAAGCAGUCAAUGGACCAGAUGUGGCUGGCUAGGGAAAUGAAUUUGGACCCGAUAUAAACUUAACACUUGGACCAGAUGAGCUUGAAGGUCACUUGCACCUUUAAAAGUCAGUAGUUUGGGGUGUCUCUUCUAAAGCCCGAUUACGUCCUUUCCACAACCGCUCAGAACACGAUAUUUCUGACGAAAGGGACAAUAUGGCUGGUUCUUCAUAAAGAGCUUCUGGACAGUGGCUUUGUGGCAUCUUCUGUCAUCAGAAAGGUGAAAUGAUAGCAUUUGAGUUUAAAAUGAAAAACCACGUGGCAUGAUCAGGAGGAUCUGUCAGGGGAAAUCUGCCUGUCUACCUACCCACCAUGUCACUGAGCUGGCCCAGGCCAGAGUGAAAUGAUAAUGGGGCAGGGGCGGGAUUCAUUGAGCGAGGUAAAAUAGAGCAUAAAAGAGAAAACCCCAAAUAAACAAGGUAUAUCUUUAGUGCUUUGGACA